rnacentral:rRNA from 1 species
UACGAGGGGGGCGAGCGUUGUUCGGAAUUAUUGGGCGUAAAGGGUGCGUAGGCGGUUUGGUAAGUCUGAUGUGAAAUCUAUGGGCUCAACUCAUAGUCUGCAUCGGAAACUGCCGGGCUUGAGUGUGGGAGAGGUGAGUGGAAUUCCUGGUGUAGCGGUGAAAUGCGCAGAUAUCAGGAGGAACACCGAUGGCGAAGGCAGGUCUCUGGGCAUUAACUGACGCUGAGGAGCGAAAGCAUGGGGGAGCGAACAGG